CCAUUUCCAUAUUUAAGCCAAAUGAAAAUUGUAUCAAAAUAAUUGUUGUUUUCGGUUUUUAAUGUAACAUUUAUCAUUUUUACUUCUAAUUAUAUUAUCUGAUCAACAAAAUUUUUCUUCUCAAUGACAAAUAUUAUUAAUUAUGUUAGUUUUUUUUCUUUACCAACACCUUAGCCUGAACCUCUAAAUCCUUAACUCUUGUCUGAUUAAUAAACCAUUACUUAAUGUAAACGUUGUUGAUCAAAAGAUAUUGACCUUGCGUGUGCCAGCCACAUUAUUUGGACCAUUUUACUCAAAUUAAAUUAAAGGGUCUCACCUUCAAGAUAUUGACCUUGCGUGUGCCAGCCACAUUUACUUGGACCAUUUUGUCCAAAAAAAAAAAAUGUCAA
rnacentral:lncRNA from 1 species